rnacentral:misc_RNA from 1 species
UGUGCUAUUUGAGACCACUUGUUGCCUAACAAGCGAUGGAGGGUGAGGAUUGUUUCUUCCUCUUGUAAAGAAAACAUGCCUCGUUUUAGUCCUGGUCUCAAGUAAUUAAUCCAUCUCAAUCGGCAGCUCUUCCCGUUCCGCUGCAGACCGGCGUUAAUGGGGACGGAGCUCCAACAGCCAUGGCCAUGUUUGAGGACGUAGUUUCUGAGCCUUUGGUCUUCUUCAGGUGACCACAAGCCCUUCCUGUGCUUUGGCUUUGGCUUUGGCUUGUCUGAAGACCUGCAACCCAUUCACCCUCAGAAAG